AAAAACAUCGCCUCCUGACAUCCCAAUAUAGGAGGUCCAGCCUGCCCAGUGACAAUAGUUUAACGGCCGCGGUAUUUUGACCGUGCAAAGGUAGCGCAAUCACUCGUCCUUUAAAUAGGGACCUGUAUGAAUGGCCAAACGAGGGCUUAACUGUCUCCCCCAUCAAGUCAGUGAAAUUGAUCUAUCCGUGCAGAAGCGGAUAUAAUAAUACAAGACGAGAAGACCCUUUGGAGCUUAAGGUACAAGAUUUAAUUUACAUCAAGCAAACCAAUAAAAGUGAUUAAACUAGUAAAAGAUAAACCUCUACCUUCGGUUGGGGCGACCACGGAGUAAAAAACAACCUCCAAGCGGAACGGGCACAGCCCUAAAACCAAGAGAAACAUCUCUAAGCCUCAGAACACCUGACCAAAGACGAUCCGGCCUAUAAGCCGAUCAACGAACCAAGUUACCCUAGGGAUAACAGCGCAAUCCUCUCUAAGAGUCCAUAUCGACGAGGGGGUUUACGACCUCGAUGUUGGAUCAGGACAUCCUAAUGGUGCAGCCGCUAUUAAGGGUUCGUUUGUUCAACGAUUAAUAGUCCUACGUGAUCUGAG
rnacentral:rRNA from 1 species